rnacentral:rRNA from 1 species
UGGGGAAUAUUGGACAAUGGGGGCAACCCUGAUCCAGCCAUGCCGCGUGUGUGAAGAAGGCCUUCGGGUUGUAAAGCACUUUAAGCAGGGAGGAAGGCUCGUACGUUAAUAGCGUGCGGGAGUGACGUUACCUGCAGAAUAAGCACCGGCAAACUCCGUGCCAGCAGCCGCGGUAAUACGGAGGGUGCAAGCGUUAAUCGGAUUUACUGGGCGUAAAGCGCACGUAGGUGGUUUGUUAAGUUGGAUGUGA